rnacentral:rRNA from 1 species
AACGAACGCUGGCGGCAUGCCUAACACAUGCAAGUCGAACGAGACCUUCGGGUCUAGUGGCGCACGGGUGCGUAACGCGGGGGAACCUGCCCUUAGGUUCGGAAUAACUCCCCGAAAGGGGUGCUAAUACCGGAUAAUGUCUUCGGCCCAAAGAUUUAUCGCCUGUGGAUGGGCCCGCGUUGGAUUAGCUAGUUGGUAGGGUAAAAGCCUACCAAGGCGACGAUCCAUAGCUGGUCUGAGAGGAUGAUCAGCCACACUGGGCCUGAGACACGGCCCAGACUCCUACGGGAGGCAGCAGUAGCGAAUUUUAGACAAGGGGCGAAAGCCUGAUCCAGCAAUGCCGCGUGAGUGAUGAAGGCCUUAGGGUUGUAAAGCUCUUUUACCCCAGAUGAUAAUGACCGUACCGGGAGAAUAAGCUCCGGCUAACUCCGUG